AGGCCUUUAACAUAUGAGUAAGGAAAAUAAUAAUUUGGGGUAGUGUCCAAAUCCUAACUGGGCAUGUAGGAAGAAUUUUUGAGAGGGUUCAGAUUGCCCCUAAAAUAAACCGAUUACUUCACAGGAUGUCUGGGUGUUGACAUCUGCCCA
rfam:Ornithorhynchus anatinus chromosome 5, whole genome shotgun sequence.